UGGGGAAUAUUGGACAAUGGGCGAAAGCCUGAUCCAGCCAUGCCGCGUGUGUGAAGAAGGUCUUCGGAUUGUAAAGCACUUUAAGUUGGGAGGAAGGGCAGUAAGCGAAUACCUUGCUGUUUUGACGUUACCGACAGAAUAAGCACCGGCUAACUCUGUGCCAGCAGCCGCGGUAAUACAGAGGGUGCAAGCGUUAAUCGGAAUUACUGGGCGUAAAGCGCGCGUAGGUGGUUCGUUAAGUUGAAUGUGAAAGACCCGGGCUCAACCUGGGAACUGCAUCCAAAACUGGCGAGCUAGAGUAGGGCAGAGGGUGGUGGAAUUUCCUGUGUAGCGGUGAAAUGCGUAGAUAUAGGAAGGAACACAAGUGGCGAAGGCGACCACCUGGGCUCAUACUGACACUGAGGUGCGAAAGCGUGGGGAGCAAACAGG
rnacentral:rRNA from 1 species